AAAAAAACUCUAAAUUGAAAAAAACUCUCAGCUCACUCUCAACCUAGCUCCCGAUCCACGACGCCGCCGUGCUCUGAGCCACCCAUAUCCCUUCUCCAUGUCCACUCCACCGGCCACCACCGACCCAUUCAAACACACACUCACAACCCCAACCCCACCAUACCCACUUCUCUCCGUGUCUCUCUUCCUAGCCGCAACUCACCACAACCCCUGCCCUCACUCUCUCGGCAAUUUCAAGUUUGUUUCUCUCAACUUCAGGUCUUGGGUGAUAGUUCAGUUUUGUGGCUGGGAGUUUGUGUGAGGUUUUGCUCAUCUGGGUCAUUUUGCACAUUGGGCUGAUGGAGAACUUUGUAAUCAUGGAGUAGGCUCGGUCAGUUUUGCUAGGAAGAAGAAAACCGAUACAGUUUUGCUGCCUAUUCAGAUUACUUGUCCCUGGUGUCAUGGAGAAAGGGAAACUUUGCUGUCAAAGCCCCCCAGUUGUGAUUUUGGGUUUGCACGUGCAAUGUCCACGAAUACUGUUGUUUUGAGAUCCAUAAAAGGCACUCCACUGUAUAUGGCUCCGGAACUGGUACGGGAACAGCCUUUCAACAACACAGCUGAUUUAUGGUUCCUUGGAGUUAUUCUAUCUUGUUAUGGCUUUAAUUGGUUCUCUCUUCAGUAUAAUUGUGUCAAUAAUAAUGCCAGCUUUAUGAUUUUUAAAAAUCAAGGGGAAUAAAGCUACAAGGACACAGAUUGUUUCAAGUACCACAAUAGCUGUAUUGGGUGUCAUUUGUGCGACUGUUGCAACAUAUUCUUCAGUGUCAGACAUUGUGAAGAGUUACUGAAAUAUUCAAAUGGUUCAACAUGUCAAUAAUUCUGGUAAAUACCCAUCCCUGUGGUAUGUGCAUUCUCUUUGCAUCACACUAAAUAUUCAAGUCACAGAUUAUAGCCAGGAAUUAGACCUUUUGAAUGCUGAAACUCAUUAUAUCUUUAAAUGUAGCCUUUAUGGACUUGUAUUAAACACAUUUUUUUAUGGUAAUUUUUGUACUGAAUACAUUGAUGUUAUCAUUUGUAACAUUGAAGAAGAAACGCAGUCACUCUAGCUGUAAUUUCUGUAAUGAUGGUACUUAUGUCCUUUGUAUCUAAUUUACUGAAAACUAGUGUUUUGACCUUAAAACAAA